rnacentral:rRNA from 1 species
UACAGAGGUGGCAAGCGUUGUUCGGAAUUACUGGGCGUAAAGGGCGCGUAGGCGGUUCGAUAAGUCCCGUGUGAAAUCCCUCGGCUCAACUGAGGAAUGGCACGGGAAACUGACGGGCUUGAGUUCGGGAGAGGGAAGCGGAAUUCCGGGUGUAGCGGUGAAAUGCGUAGAUAUCUGGAGGAACACCGGUGGCGAAGGCGGCAUCCUGGACCGGCAUUGACGCUGAGGCGCGAAAGCCAGGGGAGCAAACGGG